AACGACUCUCGGCAACGGAUAUCUCGGCUCUCGCAUCGAUGAAGAACGUAGCGAAAUGCGAUACUUGGUGUGAAUUGCAGAAUCCCGUGAACCAUCGAGUCUUUGAACGCAAGUUGCGCCCAAAGCCAUUAGGCUGAGGGCACGUCUGCCUGGGCGUCAC
rnacentral:rRNA from 1 species